GGCUCAGAACGAACGCUGGCGGCGUGCUUAACACAUGCAAGUCGAACGAACCUUCGGGUUAGUGGCGGACGGGUGAGUAACGCGUGAGAAUCUGCCCUCAGGAGGGGGAUAACGGUUGGAAACGACCGCUAAUACCCCAUAUGCCGAGAGGUGAAAAGAAAUUCGCCUGAGGAUGAGCUCGCGUCUGAUUAGCUAGUUGGUGUGGUAAUGGCGCGCGAAGGCUUCGAUCAGUAGCUGGUCUGAGAGGAUGAUCAGCCAC
rnacentral:rRNA from 1 species